AUAAAGUUAAACUUGAGCCCUGACCAGUGUGGCUCAGUUGAUUGGACGUCAUCCCGCAAAGCAGAAGAUCACAGGUUUGAAUUCCAGUCAGGGCACAUGCCUGGACUACA